rnacentral:rRNA from 1 species
AUUGAACGCUGGCGGCAUGCCUUACACAUGCAAGUCGAACGGCAGCACGGGAGCAAUCCUGGUGGCGAGUGGCGAACGGGUGAGUAAAGUAUCGGAACGUGCCCAGUCGUGGGGGAUAACGUAGCGAAAGUUACGCUAAUACCGCAUACGAUCUAUGGAUGAAAGCGGGGGAUCGCAAGACCUCGCGCGAUUGGAGCGGCCGAUAUCAGAUUAGGUAGUUGGUGGGGUAAAGGCUCACCAAGCCGACGAUCUGUAGCUGGUAUGAGAGGACGACCAGCCACACUGGGACUGGGACACGGCUCAGACUCCUACGGGAGGCAGCAGUGGGGAAUUUUGGACAAUGGGCGAAAGCCUGAUCCAGCCAUGCCGCGUGCAGGAUGAAGGCCUUCGGGUUGUAAACUGCUUUUGUACGGAACGAAAAGGUUUGGGCUAAUAAGCUGAGCUCAUGACGGUACCGUAAGAAUAAGCACCGGCUAACUACGUGCCAGCCGCCGCAGUAA